AACGAACGCUGGCGGCAGGCCUAACACAUGCAAGUCGAACGCUGUAGCAAUACAGAGUGGCAGACGGGUGAGUAACGCGUGGGAACAUGCCCUUCGGUUCGGAAUAACUCAGGGAAACUUGAGCUAAUACCGGAUACGCCCUUAGGGGGAAAGAUUUAUUGCCGAAGGAUUGGCCCGCGUCCGAUUAGCUAGUUGGUGAGGUAAUGGCUCACCAAGACGACGAUCGGUAGCUGGUCUGAGAGGAUGAUCAGCCACACGGGGACUGAGAAACGGCCCAGACUCCUACGGGAGGCAGCAGUGGGGAAUAUUGGACAAUGGGCGCAAGCCUGAUCCAGCCAUGCCGCGUGAGUGAUGAAGGCCCUAGGGUUGUAAAGCUCUGUCGCCAGGGACGAUAAUGACGGUACCUGGAUAAGAAGCCCCGGCUAACUUCGUGCCAGCAGCCGCCGUAACAC
rnacentral:rRNA from 1 species